CCCUCUCAUAUCAGAGGUUUAAACCCCGCUCUCCCUUAUCUGAUCUCUCUCUCUCUCUCGUCCGAUAAGGGACGAGAACCAUCAAUUUCUUCUUCUCCCAAAAGCCUUGAGAGCCGGGCCUUCCUUUGUCUCAUUUCUCCUCCCAAGCACCGCCGCGAUGACGUCGACCAAGACGGAAGACGCCGUACGACGUCUCACCGCCAUCACCGAUUACCGCAAGAGCUCGAAUCACGAGUCCGCCGAGAUCAGAUUCGUACUCCUAAUCCUCCUUAUUCAUGUUGGAUUCUGCAUCCGCAACCGGAGAGCGUUUCUCUCGUCGUCGGUGAACCAGCUCACAAGCAAUUCGCCGUCGGUGCUUUGAUUUAGAGCUUCAUCUGCACCUGAAGAACUGAGAUCUUAUCAUCAAUGAUUCAGCUCUGAAGCACCAUACAAAUUCAAAGUGAACAAAUUUCCUAAAUCCUGACAACAUCAAAGGCUUAUCAGCUGUCUCAAUGUUGCUUGCAAUGAUAGGUUGUUAGCAGCGACAGCUGGUUUGUUUUUAUGGAUAGGUUGUUUUUUUUGUCCCAGUACCGUACUACUAUCCAUUUUUAUGCUCCACUCCCCCCAGUAUUCAUGGACAGUGUGCCAUUA